UAUAAUGGUUCUGUGCUCUUUACAUAAGGAUAUUCAGAAAUAAUAAUAAAUUAUUAUGAAAAAAUUGAAGUUUUAAGAGCAAUAUAAUAAUCUGGUUGGAUUUUAUUUAGAUUUGAAGAAAAUAAUUAUUUUGAAUACGAGGCUAAUUAGAAAGCUUAGUUAUAUGAAGGGUUUGACCGUAACUUUUAGCUUGCAAUAAGUCACUUAACGAAAAGAAAUAUUUACGAAAUUAGGUAAUUUGUUCUACUUGUUGCUAAGAAACUUAGGGAUAAGAACCAUUUUUAAUAUUGACCUCUAUAAUUGAGUUUGGCAUAAUUGGGAAAUUCGGGAAAGGUCUAUUGACAAUGAUUUUUUCCUCGCUAAUUAAUUUUAUCUCAUCAUUACUUUUUUCGCAAGAAACAUUGACCCCCGGGAAAAGUUAUGGUCUAAUCAUAUGAAUAUCCAAUAAGCAUGUGAUGAACGCAUGUAAGGUAUUCACCAAACGUGCGAAAUUUAAAUGACGUCUGCAAUUUUCCCCAAAUUUCCGACAGUUUUAAAAUUUUACCAAAUCAACGAGCAGUUACUAAAAAGGGCAACGAAAAAUUGAAAAGAAGGAAGGACUUGAUGUGGAGGACUUGAUAAAAGUUACAAUAAACCUCGCAAAAAAAAGUGAACUAAUCAAAAAUAUAAAAGUCAGAUGAAUCAGAGACGAGCAGUGGAUGCAUAAUUAAUAUAAAAAAAAACCGGACAUUCCUGCGUGAUUUAAAAAACAUCUCGAGCAAGCGAACCAUAUACUGCGAAUCAUUGCAACAAAGAGCGUCACAGAUGAUCACUCCGAGGGAGAUCAAAGACUUCCUCGAGUCCUUGACUAUGGAGAACGAUGAAGUGAAUUUACCACAGAUAUUCAACAGUCAAAGAAACAACCGACAACAAAAUAACAAUAGCAAUGUAAAUAGUAGAAACAACAACAACAACAACAAUAACAACAGAAGCAACAACAACAGUAAUCCAAUAAACUCGACCAACCAGAACCAACAAGCAAGCAAUCGCCGUAACACCACAAACAAUCGAGAACAAACAAAUCGAGCUCAAAACAUUUCGCGAUCCAAUUCGAACGACGAAUCGAUAAAAAUAGAAGACGCCAUACGGUCGCGUGUUUACGGGUUAUUAUUGGCGAAAAUCGGAGACGUCUUUCAGGCGAAAUAUAGUGAUAAUUAAACAACAGGCAAUCCGUUAAAAACAGAAGCGAUGAUAAAUACGAUGAACAAUGCUUCGUGUUAUGAUAAAGACGUAAAAAAAAUUACAAAAACAACCGGCGACCGAGAACACAACAGUACACUUGUUUAUAUCAUUAAAAUCUUGUUUUUAAAAUAGUAUGUUAAAAAGGCGGUGUUUAUGUUUUGAUACGAAUCAUGUGGCUGGUUCCAAGUACCAUGAAUACCUCGUAAAUAUUUGAACAAUGCAGACAUAUUAUGCACUGCGAUUACACGUCGUCAAUAAUUUAGUAUUUUGCACGGCAACAGAUCACGUCUAAAACCAUCAAAACACGGUUAUAAACAAUGACUAAUUCUGAUGCUGAGCAAGCAAAAAAAAAGUUACUACGGCGCACACAGCCGCAGGUACCAUUAUUAAAAAAGAAAACAGCGGGUGCGAACAGAAAUGGAAUAUGACACAUUUUGUGGGACAAAAAUAUCCUAUAUGCUUCAUUACAUAUUUAUCAGCAACAAAAGAAAAAUCGUAAAUAACCUGUAUUGAUACUUAUGUUAUAAGAAGAAAAAUGACUCUUGCGAAAAGAA